rnacentral:rRNA from 1 species
AUGAAUGUAGAUGGAGGGGUCUCGAGGAAUGGAGCACGAGGAGCAGCGGCUGUCAUAUGCAAAGAUGAAGCGGGAGCCUUUUUGGGAGCUUCUGCAAUUGUUUUCGAUGGCCUAGUGGAUCCACCUAGUCUCGAAGCACAAGCAUGCAAUGAAGCUUUAGCACUGGCCAAAGAUCUGAAUCUGUGGAGAGUUCAGGUGGCCUCAGAUUGCCUUGAGGUGAUGAACAAUAUCAACAAGGGAGGAGCGCCGGUUUAUGGCCCGGUCCUACACGAGAUAAGGGACCGCAUGGAGGAACUAGAGUUUGUUAAUUUUUCUUUUGAAUUUCGUUAGUCGAACGAUGAAGCUCAUGCUUUGGUUAAGGCUGCUACUUCUCUUGCAGUCGGGCGCCACUUGUGGCUAGGGAUUUUGCCCAAUAUCAUUUGUAUUCCGCACAUUGUUAUCAGCGAAUAA